AUGAGCUACUGGUAACAAGUUGACUGUAACUUUGAAUAAAUAGGAUAUGGGAUGAUAUUUAGUACCAAUACCAUCAACGCUGAAGCAGUAGAUGUAGAGUGUUAUUGUAAAAUUAUGACGUGUACGAUUUUAAUUAUUUAGCAUAUAUUUUAAGUAAUGGAAGUGUUGAAACUUUAUUUGCAUAUUUUUGGAUAAUUGUAGAAAUAAAAUUAUGGAGAAAGAAGAAGCUAUACUAACUGGAUAUCUUUGGACUCCACCACAAGGAAUAAGUCUUUUGAAGAAAACUUGGAAGAAAGGAUUCUAUGGUCUCUACACAGCAAGCAAACGUGGAAUCCAGAGGCUGGAAAGUUUUGAAACAGAAGAGCAAUUUUUGCGGCAAGCCCCUAAUAAGAUUUUUAUCCUUACUGACUGUGUAAAAAUCACUGCUGCUCCCCAGAAACAACAAGCAAAUGUUUUUGAGGUGAGGACAAAAUGUCACACACACAUAUUUUCAGCAGAAAGUUUCCAAGAGAUGACGAAGUGGAUCACUUGUCUGCAGAGUGUUGCUUUUGGUAUUCCUUUACCAUCAUCCUCUUCCAGUGACCAACAAGAUACUUGUUCAAACCAACACAAUCCACAAUCCAGUAGUUCUGGUGUACACCAAGAGGAGAACCUACUGUAUAGUUCUAUGAAUGCUCCUGAAGUUUACGAAGUUCACAUUGUAGAAACAGAAGCUUCUAGUCGGUGUACAUUAUUGGGUGAUUACUAUUUAAUUGUCACUUCUGUAAAUAUAUCCUUAGGAGAAAAGGGUCCACAAGGUCAGGUAGGUCGCGUACUAUUCACUUGGCCAUUUCGACACAUCCGUCGCUAUGGAAGUAGCCCAACAAAAUUUUCCAUUGAAGCUGGUCGGAAAUGUACUUCUGGUGAAGGACUGUUUAUAUUUGAAACAAAAGAUGGAAAUGUUGUAUUUCAGAGUGUUGCAGCACAUGUUAAUUUGUUGAAAAUGUCUCGGAGUGAAGUUAAUCUCUUGGAAAAUUUUAGUGGUGGCUCAGGACCCACUUACUUUGGGAAACAGGCAGCUGCUAGCCAUGAGAAUCUCCACAUGCUUACUCAAGUGGGGAAAGUCUGCCCAGGAGUGAUCAAGGAUACCUACCCAUAUAAUAAAACUACCAAGAGCUCUCCUGAAAGCAUUUUCCAUGAAUUCAGAAAUGAAGAUCAAAAGAGUAAGAGUCUUAAACCACUUCCUCCUAUAACGAAACCUCCAAGAAAAAGUAAAGGACUUACUGGCAAAAUAACACCAACCAAAGACAUGGCAAAACCGAUACCUAAAGUAGAACAUGUAUAUGAUGAACCUGAUAGUUCAAACACACAGUUUGAUGUCCAUGAAUUACAAUACGUUGAACCUCUGUAUGAUGAACCAGAAGAAAAUGAACAAAAACAAACUAUAGGAGAGAAUGAACAAGAUGAGGUAGAUGGGCAGUGUGAAGAACCCGUUUAUGCUGUUCUUGAAGAAAAUGCAAAUAGACAAGAGAUUAGUAGUGAACAAAAAGAUGGUAGUCUAGCUGAGAUAAGGACACUGUUAGUAACAGAUGUACCCAAAGACAUCGGCAGUCUUUCACUAAGUAGGAAAGUCAUUUCUGCAAAAGGAGCUAAUACAAUAUUUCAACAGAACGAGAAAGAUUUGGGUGGAAGAUAUGCUAGUUUGAAUCCUACAAAGAGGCACAUCUAUGGAAAAAUAAAUCCUAUUAACAAAUCUCCUGCAGCCAACAUUGGAAGUGAGUUGGUCAGCCCAAUUAAUCAGUCUACUGUGUGGUACUCAGAAGUGGAAGUUGCACGGCACAGUCGAGAUGAGGGGGAGACAACCAAGAAACAAAACGUUAAUCCAUUGGUGGGUGUUGAGUAUGCAAAUAUGAUUGCCUCUCAAGGACCAACUAGAGAGCUGAUGGUUCUCCAAGAUCCAAACCAUGAGUCUUCCAAUGACAGUGUUCCUUCACAUUUCAUGUACAAUGAUACUGAAUAUGCACAGGUACUUAAAAAGACUGGAAAAGUUAAGUGAAAAUUUGUGGAAUCAGUUUAUAGAUAUACCUUAAAAAAAAACUGAAAUUUUCUUAUUGGAUGUUAUUAUUUUAUUUUGCUUAGUGAUAUUAUCAGUGUAUCUUUCCUGACAAAUUAUUAUGAAAGUAUGGAAUAUCUGAAAAUAAUACAACGAUUAUGCACAGUGAUUUACUCAUCAGAAUUGCACUGUUGCUUGAACUGGUGGUCCUUGAGAUAUUACCCAUGCUGCUUAUUCAACCUUCUUACUAUCUUCUACCAUAUAUGAUGGAAGGAUUUCUAGAGCACUCCCAAGAAGUUGUGCAGUUUUCACUAUCAUCUUAUAUGUUUAGUUAACGGAAUGCUCAGGACUUUGUUUCCAAACAUCACCAAAAUUAUUCAUACAAAAUCUAGUUUUUAUUUUGAAAGUUUUAUGUAUAUAGCUGUUGAUUUUCUUUUCUUCAUUCACAAAUUUUGAGAAAUUUUUGCGGUUGUCAUAAAUUUGAAUAAUCUUUUAUUUUAUAAAUUUUCUAUUUACCUAAACCUACAAAUUAUAAUUUUAUAUUUUGAUACAAGCAAGCAGCCUUGUAGUGUUUUGGAAUUUCUAGCAAAAAAUAAAAUAAUUCCAAGAAUUUAAUUCUUCACGAUCCUUUAAUAUUGUUUGUUCAACAUGUUUACCUAUAAUCUUGUAGCUAACAGUUUGUGCUUUGCUUAAAAUUAAUUUCCUUUUGAUGAUCCCCAAACAAGAUCACGUGUAUACAAGUGCUGUCAUUAACCAGUUGGUUUUUUGUAUUUCUUCUGCAGAUAUUUCAAGGAUGCUCAAAAACAGGUUAUGUGUAUUGUAUACAGAAUUUAGUGAUAACUAGUCUAAAACAAUUUUGGUGUGGACUGUGUGGCCACCUGUAUUCACCCACCUGGCAAACUGUGCUAUGCAAUGAAAAUUUGUCAUUGAAUAAUAAGUUUUAUGUGGAUUAUAAGGGUUAAUAUUUAUAAUAAUUGAUUCAGUUUCAAUUGCAAUAUUUUGCCAGUGAAAAUGGCUAUGUAACAAAAUAUAACAUAAAUAGUAUCUCUAGAUUGCAACCAGAAUUCUUUUUUAUAUUAUAAACUUCAUUAGGGUCUGACUUUUUUCACUAUUUAUAGCUGUAUAUGAUUGAAUGCUCAUUUUUGUAAGAAUAUGAAGGAUAAACCAGUCUGAUGAAGAAGUAUCAUCUUCUUGAUGAUCAUGUUGAGCCUUUCCACUAAGACUGAAUGCUAUAACUUGCUUGUUUGAGCUUUAUUGUUAGUAGUACUCUACAGUGGUCAAAGUCCAGCUGAAAAGUUUAACUGGUAUCAGGUUAUUUAAGGAUCCAAGGUUACAACCAAGUAGUGUGUUGUGAUAUUGUUCUGUUGUAGAGCGAUUCCUUGAUUUCAGAUCUAGUCCGAGUUUUAAGAAUAACAAACACAGCUCUGAUUCACCCAGAAAUUUUAGAUCUGGUUUGCACUUAGACAUAUACUGUUGCCUAGGGCCUUCUGACCUUUUAAGUAGUGUGUUUUCAUAUGGAUAUUAAACUUUAAUAAAACUAAUAAACACUGUAGGUUCUUAUAUUUUGUUCACAUCAUAACCUUUGUUGCAACAAUCACCUUCGGUCAUAGGUUUCAUUUAAAUGAUAGUUUAACAUGUACUUAUAACUUAGCAACAUCUGUAGAUCUAAGUUCGGUUUUAAUAUUUGAGAUAGCUAUCUGUAUCUUGUUUACACUUCAGCAUGAAUGAAUUAUGGUAUAAUUACUUUUGAGAUUACUCAUCUACUUGCAUGAAAUAAAAACAAUUCUUCUUUCUAAGGAGAGUUAUAAGUAAUGCAUGUAAAUUGAAUUGUAAACAAUAUCAUUAGUCUUUGUUUUUAGCCAGUUAGUGUGAAGAAAAUUAUUAUAGGAAAGUAGUGUUGAUUUUGACCAACUUGUAUGUAAAAUAAUAUAGAAAAGCCGUAUUUUUGUUACUGUCUUGUAUGAUAAUGAAUACAAUAAAAAAUAGUGUUUUUUAACUCAUUAUUGUGAAAAAGAAUAUUAUUAGAAACUAACAUUCUCUUGUGUGGAAAACUAAUAUUGGAUAACAGAGUUUACUAACCAUUUAACUUUUAAGUUACAAUCAUUAUGAAAAUUAUUAGAGGAUUACAUGUAGCAUUUCAUUAGCUUCAGGGGGUGGCAGGUUGGCAUGAGUGAGGAUGUAUGCCAACUGUAUUUUCAAGUGUACUGAAUAUUGACACAUUUAUCUAUAAAUUCCUCCCUAUUGGUCAAUGCCUUCAUAUUAAUGUAACUAUUUCAAUAUAUUAUCUAAUUUGUAAUUGAAAUGUCCCAAAGUUACAUAUGGGCUAAACCCAAGAACUUCUGGAAGUUUAAUAACAAUCAGAGCUGGUAAGAGACACAUGUUGAGACAGUUACAAAGAGGAAAAUGUAUGUGUUAUUUCACCGAAGUUAUCGUAAAAUAUACACAAGUCAUAAUUUAAUAACAUCGUCAUAGGCCCCCAGUGGCAUGUCUGCAAGACUUAUACUGCUAGAAACUGGGUUUUGAUACCUGUGGUGAGCAGAGCACAGAUAAUCCAUUGUGCAGCUUUCUGCUUAACUACAAACAAACACAUCAUCAUAGACAUUUAUAAUAACAGUAAUAAGGCUCUGACCAUCCACAACAAGAUGUAGCUCUCUGUCAGAUUAUUAUGAUCGUGACUUGGUUUUUACCUACCACUGAUGCACUGGCAAGGCAUGUUAGCAAGCAUGUUUGUUGAUGUGAUUCAAAUGUGUGAGUUGCUCUAACCUCCAGACUCUGUGCCAGACCUUUCAUAGAUAUCUGUAGUAAGUUUAUACUGUUGAAUACUGGUCACAUUCCCUUUCACUGUGACAUUCCAAACUUCAAUUGCUAUUUGUCAUUUAAUUUCACAGUGAUGAAGCAGUAGUAUGAAAAUAGCACAAUAUUGUACAUGUUUAAUAUUUUCUUAGCGAGAAAGAGUAACAGCAUGUAAACUGACCAGUAGUAGAUAAUUUCUCAGUAGACUGACAAAUGAGUCAGAAAGUUUGUAUAUAUAUUUGAAGUUCAAAUUUAAAACAGACCAAAGUGUCAAUUGUUGCUGCAAUAUUUUCAUUAUGAAAGACCAGAUUUUGUUCUUUGGGCAUUAUUAGCAUUUGAUAAGCAUUGAUUUUGUUCAGUUGUUCAACUGUGGCAUCUGGCCGUAGCAGUUAGAUAAUUGGAGAUGGUAUUGAGAUACCGAAGUUUAGGCCUCAUCUAUGCUGGCAACUUAGCUUGUAUAGGAGUGGUAUGUCCCCUACAUUUUCAGGCCUCAUUUUUGAAAUUAGAAUUAACAUAGUUAGUAGCUGUCUGGGUAGAAAACAAAUUAUCCUGUGGUUAUAUUCCCAUUGAUAUAGCCAAUCAAUAGUUGACAGGUGAAUAUGAAUGUCUUUGAUCAGUUCUAUUUCUCACUAUAUAUCUCAUCAUUUUGGGUAAGAGAUUGGAGUUGGUGACCCUCUUCUGGGUGUUCGGUAAGUCUUCCAUGUAAGUUACAGGACCGUUCUUAUCUUAUUAGUUUUUGUCGGUGCCAAAGAAGAAAAAAAAAUGCCUUUCUCAAAAUAUUUUAGUAAUUUCUAACCUUUGCUAGAGUUGGAUGUUUAACAUUUAUUUGCUUUCUGUAUGUCUCUGCGAGGUUCUGUUUUAUUGGAUAGCAGGUUGCAAGACAACUACAUAUUGCAUAUUUUAGUAUGCCAUGGAUGAUAUUAGGAGUGCAUAUAUCAGGUAUUUUUGGUGAUCAUAUUUAAUGCAUUUAACAACAGAUAUAUAUAUUGUUACAUAGUGUAAACAUUACAGGUUUGAAAUGUAUAGUGGACUGUUCUUGUCUUCUUUCUUGAUGGGAUGACAUUGUAUUCUCUGUGAAGGAGCCUUCAAUAAAGAAACUGUCAAGUUAUCCAACUCAAGAAGCAAGGUGAAAGUAGUCCAUUAAAACCCCACAAAUCUAUAUGUUUAUAUAUUAUUGUACACUAAAAGGGGUUAAUUAUUAGAAACAAGUGAUAAGAUUUUUCAUUACUUGUAUAUUUUUAUUUUCAAUAUUAAUAAAUUUAUAGUGUUCAAGAAGCAAGG
rnacentral:misc_RNA from 1 species